GAGGACUGAGGAUAAAGAAAACGUAAACAAUGGGUUGUUGGCUACUUCGGCUGAUCGAAAUGAUUUGUCCAUUUAUGCCAUUUGUGGCAUGGGUGGACUUGGAAAGACUACUCUUGCUCAACUGCUCUUCAAUGAUGAAAGGGUUAUAAG